UACGGAGGGUGCAAGCGUUAUUCGGAUUGACUGGGCGUAAAGAGCGCGUAGGCGGUCUGCUAAGUCUGGUGUGAAAUCCCUGGACUCAAUCCAGGAAGUGCAUUGGAUACUGGCAGACUAGAGGACAGGAGAGGAGAGCGGAAUUCCAGGUGUAGAGGUGAAAUUCGUAGAUAUCUGGAGGAACAACAGAGGCGAAGGCGGCUCUCUGGACUGUCACUGACGCUGAGGCGCGAAAGCGUGGGGAGCAAACAGG
rnacentral:rRNA from 1 species